UACAGAGGUCUCAAGCGUUGUUCGGAUUCAUUGGGCGUAAAGCGCGUGUAGGCGGCUCGAUAAGUCCGCUCUGAAAGUCCAGGGCUCAACCCUGGGAUGCGGGUGGAUACUGUCGGGCUCGAGUCCGGAAGAGGCGAGUGGAAUUCCCGGUGUAGCGGUGAAAUGCGCAGAUAUCGGGAGGAACACCAAUGGCGAAGGCAGCUCGCUGGGACGUGACUGACGCUGAGACGCGAAAGCGUGGGGAGCAAACAGG
rnacentral:rRNA from 1 species